ACUAGUUUUGUGGUAAGAAUUUUACCUUCUUUUCCACAGCUUUAUUUUUAUAAGUUAACUUUUGAGAAAUGGAGACUACGGUCCCUAGUUUCCCCAACAGGUGAUGAGAAGACUACAAUUCCCGGGAGGCACUGCGGCCAACAUUGGCCCGGGCUUCUGCUCUGCAUCAUGGGACUUGUAGUCAUCACCAGUUUGGGCUUGUUUUACUAGGUUACAGAAUAGUUUCCAGAGUUAACAGCGCUUUAAGGGAUGACAGUUGAUUCUGAGUGAGAAGAUAGAAUGCUCCGCUACAGCCUAUUCGUCCUACAUAAUUCAGAACUCCUCGUUGGCAGAGAACUCCUGAAAUUCUUCAGUGUGUUAGUGGGUCUGAGGCCUCAGCUGGGAGACUUGAAGACUGGGUCUGUGAUCAUCUGAAACCUCAUCCACUCACAAGUUGAGUGGUUGAUGCUGAUAGGUGCUGACGAACUGCAUGUGAUAUUUUCACAUGGACUAGUUUGCACUUUCUAAGAGCAUGGUGGACAGAUUUCAAAGGCUCCAGACGCGCAGGCUCAGCGGCCAUGGCUCAUGGGCCCAGCUGCUCCGCGGUAUGUGGGAUCUUCCCGGACCGGGGCACGAACCCGCAUCGGCAGGCGGACUCUCAACCACUGCGCCACCUGGGAAGCCCAACAGAAGGAUUUUGAAUUGAUAUCUGGUUUGAAAUUCUUACUCUGCCACAAACUAGUUGUAUGAUCUUGAGUAAAUCACUCCUUUUUUUUUCAGCCUCAGUUUCUUCAUCCAUAAGAUACAGGCAAUGAUAACCUUCUUGAAUUGUUGAAAGAGUUAAUGAGAUAACUACAUAUGUACAGUGCUUGGUGAAAUUCUUGGAGCUAAGAAUUAUAGUUAAAUUAUUUUCCCUUCCUUACUCAAAUUUUUAUUUAAAUAUAUUACUUGAAUAUAUAAGCCCUAUUUUGGCCUUUAUGCAUCUUAUUACAAAGUCCUGCUUGAUU